rnacentral:pre_miRNA from 1 species
GCUCAAAAUGGGGGUGCUUGCCGAUUUGUGACUGGAAAGUGCUCCCAUUUUCGAGCGU